CAGCACCGCGGGCAGCAUUUAUAAGGGAGAGCUGUCGGGGUUUUGUGGUUUUUUAUAUUAUUAUUUAAUUUUCUUCACGGAGAAAGCGGAGGGCUCCAUUUUUUUUCUUUUCUUGGCCUCUCGGGUUUCUUCGUCCGGAGGAUGUCGCGAACGUCUAAUGCGAGACCCCUGCUUGCCCUGCUGCUGCUUCUGACGACCGCGAGCCUCGCCAUGGCUCAGACUCAACUCUCUCCCACCAACUCCACCGGCAACUCGACUGCGGACUCGGGGUCAGGGCCGACGCUGCCCCUGCUGCCCCUGCUGGUGGCCUCCCUCCUGCUGCCCCUCGUCACCCUGGGACCUGUGCUGGCCUAGCCCGGCCUGCGCCCACCCACCCAACCUCACUCACUCACUCCCCACUCAUCAUCAGCAGCAGCAAUUUUGGCAACAACAUCGUCAGUAGCAGCAGCAGCAUAAGUUGUAAUAAAACAAGUCGUGUUUGAUUUCGAUUGAAAGCUUUCGUGACUGCAGGGAUUCAUAUUCUUGGUUCUUUCGGUAAAGUCACGUAGAAGGACAACAAUCAAAUAAAAUAUUAUAUUAAAAAAUAUAUUAUUUUAUUGUUUCCCUUCUACGUGACUUUACCGAAAGAACCAAGAAUUAAGUGGUGUUUAGGCUGGGACGGGGGGGGGCAUCAGCUAUGCCAUGAGCUGCCCUUCAUCACUCACAUCCAGUUGAGAUUCUACUUUGCCCACCGCCUCCAGUCAUUCACCAAGUAGCACGGAGUUACGGCAGCAGUAUCAACGACAGCAAUAAUAGCACGUGGAUAUGCAGGCAUAAGAGCACCCCUAUAGUAGCAUCAUCGGCAGCAGCAGCAGCAUCAGUGACAUAGAUCAUCAGCAGCAGCAGAAACAGCAACAGAUAGCAUGUUCAGCAGCACUCGCAGCAACAGCAGUGAUGGCCCGACGAAUGGCAGUUGUAGCAGCAGCAAUCGAAAGAUGCAACAGCAGUAGCAGAAUAUGCAAUAGCACCUGCAUCAACAACAACAGUAGCAACAGCUGAUGGUAGUAGCACCAACAUCAGCAGCGUACCGGUCCUGGCCGUGGUGGCUAUGGAUGUGGCCUGUGAUCCAGGACUGUGGAGGCGAGGGUUGGUGGGUCACACACACACACACCCUCCACCCGUGGGCGUUGAGCUGCAUACGCUUGGGUCGCCUGAAUGCGGUACAGCAAAUGCAUGGGAUAGAGUGUUGCUCCCUCGCAUGCGUGGACCUCCUCCCGAGUGCUUCGGCUCUUCUCCAACAUGUAUACACGCUCAUUAAUUGGCUGAAAACAUCUUUAAUGUGUAGAGGAUCACAGUGCUUCGGGUAAUUGUCGGCAACCCGCUCACCGCCUUGGCUGUUGCCUUCCCCGCUAUCUGUGGCUCUGCAGCAAUCGUGAGAUGCAAUUUUCAAGAACGAGUGGUGAAGUAUGGUCAAACCACCCCCCCACCCCCAUGAUCGACACGGUGUUGGGAGGGCCUUAAUGCCUUAAUCCAGCAGGCAGUGGAUAAGGGGCUAGAGAUCAUUAUAAAUGAUACAUAGCACGUACACAACCUGUAAAGAGUUACAUACGGACAUAUGUGAGAUAAAAGCGGCACAUGUUCAAUGUAAGCGGUGAUUACCCUUUUUUUGCUACGUUUAAGGGAUGUUUAAAAUGUUAUUUGUUUUUCUCCCAAAAAAAUGACAAAAGAAACCCAGCCCUGUAUCAGGGCUUAAUUUCUCAUGGAAUAAUUCCCCCCCCUCCCCAAACCUACCCCACUCACUCCAGCGGGCUUCGGGGGGAGGGCAGGGAAUAUUUUCCGGAGUUCAGCCCCGGACAGCUCCGAUUGAAAUUAAGCCCCUUGCCCCAUUCGUGGUACCAUAGCACUGUGUGGACAUACAGGCAGUCAUCGACUUACGAACGACCGUACUAACGAACGCCCGUACUUACGGACCAGCUUCCAUGAAACAAAAACAAUCACAAAUUAACGUCGAUUUAGACAAACGCGAAUUCGCAAAACUGAACCGUCGAACUACUUUGUUCAGAAGAGUGAUCUUCCGCGACAUAUAACGAGCUUAACGAUGCUUCCCUUAUUCAACCGUAACACGUUUCAUAACACUGACCCUACGGGAAUUUAAAGACAGGGCGUUGUUGUGCUCCGACUUACGAACCGUUCCGACUUAUGAACGGGUCUCAGGAACGACUUAAGUUCGUGAUGCCAUGACCGUCCGUAUUGGGUAGUGAACAGAAGCGGCUACUUUUUUUAAAAAUUAUAAAUUACAGCGAAGCAUUUACUGCUGGCCUUAACGUUGCUGUGUCACUGCUGUAGGAUUGAUGCGUGCUUGUUGAAGGUGAAAUAUGGGGGGAAAUGUAAAUUUAGACUCACGAAAUUCACUAUUAUUUCGCGGUAUGCGUUAAAUUUACACUUAAAAAAAUAAGUUAACCAAAUGUAGUCGCUUUAGAAAAUGCAUGUUCCGUAUAUCGAGUUUUUUUUUAUUGCAGUUGUAAAUUAUCCUGCUGCAGACGAGAUGAAUAACCAAUUGUCGAAGCGAAUAUUAAGCGUUCAUCGCUAACGCACGCGUGCAUUCACACUUUGCGGCAUAUAUGGUAACGACUUGCACGUCCUGUUCACGUGUACAACGCCGCACAUCCGACUCGCUAGGGACCGCGAUGUAUACACAAGCGGACAUGAAAAUGUUGAGUAACACCAAUAAUACAUAGGUUUACUGGACAAGAAUACUGGACGUGAAGGAAACCUUCCUUAAUGCUACUGGGGCGCAUCCACGCGAGAUUAGGAAACACAUUGUCCUGCGGAGGGAGCUGGUAGGAACGUUGGGUUGCUCGGUCAAUGGCCAGGGUCAACGGCGGCGUGGUGUAUUCCGCAAAUAUGGACGACUGUGAGGGCGGGCACAAGCCGGCGUGAGUAGGUUAAACGUUGAGUUUUAUAAGGGCACGACGGGGUGACCAGCUCCUCCCUACCCAACCCCACCCCUCCCACCCAGCCCCACCCUCCCCACCCAGCCCCUCCCUGCACACAAUAAUCCCCUGUAGGCUGGUGUAACCAGGAGGUUCCUACCAGUAUAACAUUGCCGUAAUAUGAUACACCUAAAGUAGCAUUUGGGAACAGCUGUAAUGGGCAUGGCAGUAAAUACUGCACUGAGUGUGGGCGGUUAAUUGGCCAGGGUGGAUAUUUCAUGGUCGGAUAUGCGACGUUGUACUGUCGAAUUUUUUCAUGCUUAAAUCAAAAUGAGCUAAAACUCCAAUCGCUGUAACACUGGUAAUGCAGUCAGAUUUAUAUUCCAUGAUGAUUUCAGUGUUAAUUUCUAUACAAUAUAUAUCCAUCCAUAACAGUGUGAUUUAUGAAUGAGGUGAAUUGUUGUUUCUUUCAAAUGUAAUGUCUCGUGUUUUAAAAAAGUUCAUGUAAAACUAAUUUUUUACAAACAUAUAUAAAAGUGUGUUACAUUUAAAAGCUAAUUUUGUGUUCAGGAUGAUUUGUUAUUUUUGUACACGAGCAAAAACGUAAUUUUAACUACGCAGACCACUAACAAUUACAAAGCUUACUCAAGCACUCCAGUUAUUCUCCAUUCGCAAAGAGACGCCCUUAAACAAUAUAACAAUUGAAAUGUGAAUAAAA